CCUACGGUGUGCAGCAGUAGGGAAUUUUCGGCAAUGGGGGGAACCCUGACCGAGCAACGCCGCGUGAACGAAGAAGUUAUUCGUAAUGUAAAGUUCUUUUAACAGGGCAGAAAGAGAAAUUUGACGGUACCUGAAGAAUAAGCUCCUGCUAACUCUGUGCCAGCAGCCGCGGUAAUACGUAGGGAGCGCGCGUUAUCCGGAAUUAUUGGGCGUAAAGGGUGCGUAGGUGGCAUAGUAAGUCUUUUGUACAACUGCUGGGCUCAACCCAGUAGGGCAAAAGAUACUGCAAAGCUAGAGUAUGACAGAGGCAAGUGGAAUGACAUGUGUAGCGGUAAAAUGCGUAAAUAUAUGUAAGAACACCAGUGGCGAAGGCGGCUUGCUGGGUCGAUACUGACAUUGAGGCACGAAAGCGUGGGGAGCAAACGGGAUUAGAUACCCUUGUAGUC
rnacentral:rRNA from 1 species